CCUACGGGUGGCAGCAGUGGGGAAUAUUGGACAAUGGGCGAAAGCCUGAUCCAGCCAUGCCGCGUGUGUGAAGAAGGCCUUCGGGUUGUAAAGCACUUUCAGUGGGGAAGAAAGCCUUGGGGCUAAUACCCUCGAGGAAGGACAUCACCCACAGAAGAAGCACCGGCUAACUCCGUGCCAGCAGCCGCGGUAAUACGGAGGGUGCGAGCGUUAAUCGGAAUCACUGGGCGUAAAGCGCGCGUAGGCGGUCUGAUAAGCCGGUUGUGAAAGCCCCGGGCUCAACCUGGGAACGGCAUCCGGAACUGUCAGGCUAGAGUGCAGGAGAGGAAGGUAGAAUUCCCGGUGUAGCGGUGAAAUGCGUAGAGAUCGGGAGGAAUACCAGUGGCGAAGGCGGUCUUCUGGACUGACACUGACGCUGAGGUGCGAAAGCGUGGGUAGCAAACAGGAUUAGAUACCCGAGUAGUC
rnacentral:rRNA from 1 species